rnacentral:lncRNA from 1 species
CUGCGGUGAGUGGGGAAGCGGAGGGAGAGCGGAGCCCCCGACCGCCCGUCCCUGCCCUCUCGGCAGCCGAUUUCAUGCCUCUCCGGUUGUGGGUCACGAGCCGGGCCCUGGCAGGAGCCGAGGGGACAUCGCCGGGAGACGCUGGAGCGGAGGUUUUACUCGAGCACACGUAAACGGCGCGUACCGGAGGCGGCACCGAAGAGCGAUCGCUGCGGCAAUGCUCGGACUCUGAGACGGGAGCGAAGUCCCAUAUUGCUCUCCCACCAGCGAACCCGGAGCAGGCAACAAAGCUACAGGGAAGCAGUCCUGGAGAGAAGCGACGGGGCGGUGUGGAAGUCAGCCCCAGCCUGACUUCGUGGGCGCUGGGGUCGGAUCGGGGCUGAGUGGGCAUUGAGCCGCGGCACGUCGGGCUGAACCGCCCGCAUUGGUG